ensembl:lncRNA
UUUUUUUUUUUUUGGUCUUUCUGUCUUUUUAGGGCCACACCUGCGGCAUAUGGAAGUUCACAGGUUAUGGGUCAAAUCAGAGCUGUACCCGCUGGCCUACACCAGAGCCACAGCAAUGCCACAUCCGAGCCGCGUCUGCGACCUACACCACAGCUCACACAACGCCAGAUCCUUAACUCACUGAGUGAGGCCAGGCAUCGAACCUGCAACCUCACAGUUCCUAGUCGGACUCAUUAACCACUGAGCCAUGAUGGGAACUCCUUUUUUUUUUUUUCUUUAAUGGUAGAAACACAGAAUUGGUGCCCUCACACUACAAACAUCACUGAGCAGUAUAAAAUCCAGCUUCCAGGAGUUCCCGCCACGGCACAGCAGAUUAAGGAUCUGGCGUUGCAGCAGCUGUGGCGCAGGUCGAGGUUCCAGCCUGGCUUCAGUUGCUGGCCUGGGAACGUCCAUAUGCUGUGGGUGUGGCCAAAAAAGGAAAAAAAAAAAAUCCAGUUUCCAGAAAACUGGAAAUAAUUAAGAAUUGCUCUGUGGUCCCAGGGCCUGGCCGUGCUGCUUCUCCCGAUGCUCCAAGUCCCUUUUCUACGAAUGACAGCCCUGGGAUGGCCCCGGGCCCUACAACCGCCCCGAAAGGCUGCGCCACGAGGACGAAGAAAGGAGAGCCCUGGGUCUCAGCAUCGCGGGAAAGACCUGCGAGCCCAUCUGCCUUUGCAGAGCUUGGGUGACGUGGUCGUGGCCAACAGGAGACGCAGCUCUAGGCUUCGUCUGGAGGAAGGGCUGGGCCCUCGGCCCGUUACGCAGCAGCAGAGGCUGCAAAAACAGCUUUAAAUUCAGCCAGGUCCUCUGCCUCUUGGCGUUUAGCGGCCUGCCAGAUGUUCCUCAGCCCUGACACAUGCCCCAGACGCCAGCAUCUGAAGAAAACCCUGGAGGAAUCUUCUUUAAAGUAUAAGCAAAGGGACACAACACCACAGGGGUGGCACUAACGGGCCUCGGGGGAGCAGGCAGGUUCCGCGAGGCACUGGAUUUGGGAUGAGGAUAAGAGGCAGAGCGUCCUCCAGCCUGCUGUCUCCCGAAAUCAUCUCGCCUCAGUCACCGCGGGUCUAGAGUCACUCGAAGUACAAUUCCCUUCACGACGGAAAAGGCUCCUAGCGGCUUCGGAAGGUUCCUGCCGUGACCACUGAGGGUGUGGGGGGAUGGCUUUGCCUUGUGUCACGAACACUGUAACUUGGAGGCACGGGCAAGUGUGCUUAAAAAGAAGUGGGUAAAACGGACCGGGACUUGGGAUGUUCUGGCUUUCUGGAGUCCGACGCAUCUUCGGCCUAAACUGGGAAAGAACAGAUGCGAGGGCCUCUCCGCCGCUGCCUCUGGGCUCAGCCGAGGGUGGGGUGGAAAAAAACAAGCUACAAAAAGUCCAAGGUACAGGCCAGGUGCAUGCAGACAAGCACAAGGUGAGAGUGAGCGGCCCGGUGCUCUGUCCCCCGCCCCAAAGAUGGCUCCUGGAUCAACACCGUUCAGGGCCCGGCUUCUCCAGAAGACAGCUCCCCUCGGGCAAGCCCGUCACUGCACCUGCGUCCACUUGGUCCUGCAGCCCCUUCCACUUUCUCUUCCAAAGGGCCUGCGUCCACACUGUCACACAGGCUUGUGUUCCUCCAGCUCUGAAAGCGGCCUGAGCCACUUUCCCUGCCCCGGCGCCACAACAGCGUUGCAAUUCGCCCAGGUCAGGCCGCGUGCUGCACACACGCUGCGCAGCAACAGCACAGCCGACACCCACAGAGCCGAGCCUGCCCGGGAGCCUGCCCUGCACGCACAAAGCAAGCCUGGCCUCUGUGGGGCACAGGGGGCAGGAGGC